GCCCCCGUUGUCUAAUGGUUAUGACGUCAGACUUCUAUAGCGCAGGUUAUUGGCGAAUCUGGAGGUUGCGGGUUCGAAUCCCGCCGGGGGUU